rnacentral:rRNA from 1 species
CCUACGGGAGGCAGCAGUGGGGAAUCUUGGACAAUGGGGGCAACCCUGAUCCAGCCAUGCCGCGUGUGUGAAGAAGGCCUUCGGGUUGUAAAGCACUUUCAGCAGGGAGGAAGGCUUUGGGCUAAUACCCUGGAGUACUUGACGUUACCUGCAGAAGAAGCACCGGCUAAUUUCGUGCCAGCAGCCGCGGUAAUACGAAAGGUGCAAGCGUUAAUCGGAAUUACUGGGCGUAAAGCGCGCGUAGGCGGUGUGUUAAGUCGGAUGUGAAAGCCCAGGGCUCAACCUUGGAAUUGCAUCCGAUACUGGCACGCUAGAGUGCAGUAGAGGGAGGUGGAAUUUCCGGUGUAGCGGUGAAAUGCGUAGAGAUCGGAAGGAACACCAGUGGCGAAGGCGGCCUCCUGGACUGACACUGACGCUGAGGUGCGAAAGCGUGGGGAGCA